rnacentral:rRNA from 1 species
CCCUUAGAUGUUCUGGGCAGCACGCGCGCUACAAUGGUCUUCGCAAACGGAUGCAUUCUCGAAGGAGAAUGCCAAUCUUGGAAUCUAUGCCUUGGUCGGGACAGUUGCUUGCAAUUUUUCGACUCGAACCAGGAAUUCCUUGUAAUCGUGAUUCAUCACAUCACGAUGAAUACGUCCCUGCCCUUUGUACACACCGCCCGUCGCUCCUACCGAUCGAAGAGUUAGGUGAAUUGUUUUGAUCGAUAAGAUUUGACUAUGGUCAACUCUCGUUGUGAAAUUCUGUGGAUCUGACUGUUUAGAGGAAGGAAAAGCCGUAACA